CCUUUGACGAUUGACUCAUGUUGCCUCGGCGGGUUCUCCCGCCAGAGGAUACGUCAAAACUCCUGUUUUAACGGUGUUGUCUGAGCUACAAGCAACGAAUCAAAACUUUCAACAACGGAUCUCUUGGUUCUGGCAUCGAUGAAGAACGCAGCGAAAUGCGAUAAGUAGUGUGAAUUGCAGAAUUCAGUGAAUCAUCGAAUCUUUGAACGCACAUUGCGCCCCUUGGUACCCCGAGGGGCAUGCCUGUUCGAGCGUCAUUUCACCACUCAAGCCUGGCUUGGUGUUGGGCGACGUCCCCUUUGGGGACGCGCCUCGAAACGCUCGGCGGCGUGGCACCGGCUUUAAGCGUAGCAGAAUCUUUCGCUUCAAAAGUCGGGGCCCCGUCUGCCGGAAGACCUACUCGCAAGGUUGACCUCGGAUCAGGCAGGGAUACCCGCUGAACUUAAGCAUAUC
rnacentral:rRNA from 1 species